AUGACGAGGAGGGGUGCGCCCCCCCCCCCCCAACCGCCGAUGUCGCAGACUUUGAGGUCGCUGCCCGCGGGGAAAACAGCAUGCCCGCCGCCCAUGGGGGAAACCGCAUGCCCAAGAUCCCCGAUGCAGCGGAUGAGAUCGAGGUCCUUUGCGCAGCGAAGGGCAACUUGGAGGAGCGGCAGCUGCAGACCACGCAUCUCUCGCACACGCCGCCGCGCUAGGAGGUCGCGCGCAGCAGCCUGCAGCCUCACCGCCGCCGACACGUGGCGGGUAGCGAUCCAAGACGGAAGCGGUGACGGCGACGGCGGGGACUUGAUCUGCUGGAUGUGGACGCCCUAG
rnacentral:rRNA from 1 species